UAUAAAACUAAUAUUCCUUCAAAUAUCUAUUAUUUCUCGAAUAUUGUUCAGUGAACAUUUCAACGUUGACUCAGUCUUUUUAAAGAGUUCUGUUUAACUAGUUACCUUUAUAAAUCUAUUGCAUGAAAAUCGCAACGCGAGUGAACAAUAAAUAAUAAUAUUCCACAUGGACCAAUUGAAUUUUAUUCUAUUUUUAUUUGCAUUGUGCGCACUUUCAACAAAAUAUCGAGAGAUCACGAAAUAACUUCAAUUAAAUUCGAAGAUUCAAAAUUAUAUCUCAUAGAAUGAAAUACCCAUCGUUUUCUAAUUGAAAAUUAACAUCUACUUUUGAAAAAGUUUGGAAAACGAAUGAAGAGCGAUCAACAAAGUAUAUUUUUCUAUCUAUAAGAUAUAUUUUUCGUUCGUUACUAACUACAUUUCAUACGAUAAAUGUAGAAAGAAGUGAUAAUAAGACAGGAACAAAGUAAAUUAUUUUCUUCAUCCUCCCUCUCUCUCUCUCUCUCUCUCUCUCUUUCUCUCUCAUUAUCUAUUUUUCAAUGACAAUCGUCAAUGUCAUCCAUUAAAAAAGAAAAAAUAGAUAUGUACGUAUUAUCGAUAAAUAUGUCACAUAUAUGUGACCAUAGUUAUUCAUAAGGAGUAUCAAGCAAAUAAAAAAAAAAAAUCUAUUUUGAAAGUUUCUUUUGGAUAUUUCAAAAAAUAGAAAAAUAUUCGUUUGCUAUCAUUUCAUGGAUAUGAACAUAUUGCGAAAUGAUUUAGACGAGUGCGUAAUAAUAGCUCAUAUCAUUUUAACGUCGGAUACUUUCAUUCAUUAGUUUUGAAUAAAAUUUGUAUAAUAUAUAAUCCACCAUUUCCAAAGGGGGAAUAAUAAGUGUAUUUUGAUUGUUUAUUAAUAAUGAAUCAUAAUCUCGGUAGUAAUUGAAAUCAAAUAUUUCCAUCACAGGUUGGAUAUUCAAGAAAAAACUUUCUAUGCUGGAUCUACUUAUAAUUGCAUCUCUUAAUGAUAAUCAAAUCAACGAGAAAUAAAUUCGAGAAGAAAUCGAAAUACAAUCAUAAUUGUAAGUUGUAAUAUAUUAAUUUGUUUCGAAUAAUAUCUAAGAAAAAAAAAAGAGAAAAUAAUUUUGUUAAAAAAAAAAAUUUUCAUAGAGUAACGACAUUACGGGAAAUCGUAUUGUACUUUGUUUUAAAUUUCCUAACAAAAUUCAAAGAAGUUCAGAUGACAUUUUUAAUCCAAAACGAUUGAUCAAAAGAUACAUUUCAUAACUAUAAUGAAUAAUUAACGAUCUAUUAAUAUAUAGAAAAAUAUAAGAAACGAAGUGAACAUAGUUAUGCGACUAAAAGAUAAUAAUUCGAUGAUCUCGGUUCUAAAAAUAUUUUCAUACCUCCAAAUAUCUAUCAAAGAAUCAUUUUGUUUAUAUCUAAACAUUUCUCUUAAAUUUCAUCAAAUUUUUCAAUAUUUCCAGCUGAUCAUAUGAUAUGUAUUAACAUAUCGAAUGAAUUUUCGUUUGAUCAUUUAAAACAAAUAUUUAAUCAUAUAUCAAUAUUUUAAAAAUUAUUUAGUCCCAUUCAAUUUUAUAUAUAAUAUAAAUAUCUACGGCAUACGAAGAAAUUCAUAAUACUGGCCAAAUCUCGAUGUUUUUCUUUCCGAUAAAUUCUCAUCGAAAAACAUGUAACAGAUGUGGAAAAGAAAAUAUUUUUUAUUCACACAUCUCCUUUAGAACAAGAUUAAUGAAUCAUUUCGAAGAAUAUUACAUACAGAAAUAAGUAAAAAAUAUAAGUCAUAAGUCGAAGAUCUGAAAUGUUUGAACUUGAAUUAAUGUUAGUUUGCAUAUUACACAACGAUUUCGAUAUGCAGUAAACUGUGGAUGAAUUUAAUAACGACAAAAUAAAAAUGAAUAUUAUUUUGUCUCUAUCUAGAUCAUUUAAUGUCAAGUUUAUACAUAUCUAUAAAAUAGACAUUUUUUUCACAAUAUCUAUUCGAUUUUCAUUGAAAAUUGUGUAAGAUAUUAAGUGCCAUUAGUUUAAGGUCAAACAUUGCGGAUUUUCAUGGAUCAAUAAAAAGAAAUAAAAUCAAUGAUAUCGAUCUUUCUCUUAUUAUUGCAUGUAAUAUAAAACGAUACUAAUUUGUUGAUUUUGCACUAAAUGAAAUGUAUGUGCAAAGAUUACGUCCUUCUACAAUUUUCGAUUAAAAUCUAUCGGAAUCGAAAACAUCAGGAUUUGGCCAAUAUUCUGGAUUUCUUCGUACACUGAAAAUAUUCACAUUAUAAAUCGAAUUAGCUGGGACUAAAUGAUUUUGGGGAAAAAUUAAUAUAUAAUUAAUUAUUUGAUUUAAAUGAUGAAACGAAAAAUCAUUCGAAAUGUAAAUACAUAUUACAUGAUAAUAUAACGAAAUAGAAGGAACGCUUAAAUUAUAAACGAUGUGAUUCAUGGAUAUAUCUUUCCAAGUAUAAAAAUUUUUUUACAGUCAAGAUCGUUAAUUUAUCAUCUCGUUGUUGUAUAAACAUAUUUAUCUUGUCUUACGUAACUUCCUAUAAAUUAUUAUAUCAUUGGUUAUUCAUUAUAGAUACAAAAUAUAUCCCUUUCGAUCAAUCUUUUGGAUUGAAAACAUUAACUGUACAUUUUUGUAUUUUGCAAAUAUACACAAAACAAAAUAUAAUGCUAUUGCCGUACUAUCAUAAGUCUACGAAGAUUUUUUUCUAUAUAUUAUUUUCUCAUUUUAGAUGUUAGAUCACUUAGAUCAUUAUUCGAAAUAAAUCAAUAUACUACAGCCUAAAUCAAAUAUGAAAAUAUUAACUUAUUCAUAAUUUCUUUUCUCAAAGAUUUGAUUAUCAUUCGAAGAUGCUAUUAUAUAUAAGUAGAUUUAUCAUAGUAAUUUUCUUGUGUAUCGAAUCCGUAAAAAAAAAAGAAGAUCAAAUAUUUGUAUCAAUAUUAUUCAUUAUUAUUCAACAAUUAGUAUACAUUUAUCAUUAUCCUCGGACCUUUAAAAAAAAAUAUUAUUCUCGUCGAAC